CCUACGGGGGGCUGCAGUAGGGAAUAUUGGACAAUGGGCGCAAGCCUGAUCCAGCCAUGCCGCGUGAGUGAAGAAGGCCCUCGGGUUGUAAAGCUCUUUUGUCCGGAAAGAAAAGCAAUCGGUUAAUACCCGGUUGUUCUGACGGUACCGGAAGAAUAAGCACCGGCUAACUUCGUGCCAGCAGCCGCGGUAAUACGAAGGGUGCAUGCGUUACUCGGAAUUACCGUGGGUGAAGCGUGAGUAGUGGUUUGAACGCCCUGUGCUCAACCUGGGAAUGGCAUUGGAUACUGGCGGGCUAGAGUGCGGUAGAGGGUAGUGGAAGUCCCGGUGUAGCAGUGAAAUGCGUAGAGAUCGGGAGGAACAUCUGUGGCGAAGGCGACUGCCUGGACCAGCACUGACACUGAGGCACGAAAGCGUGGGGAGCAAACAGGAUUAGAUACCCUUGUAGUC
rnacentral:rRNA from 1 species